rnacentral:rRNA from 1 species
AGCGAACGCUGGCGGCAGGCUUAACACAUGCAAGUCGAGCGGGCACCUUCGGGUGUCAGCGGCAGACGGGUGAGUAACACGUGGGAACGUGCCCUUCGGUUCGGAACAACUCAGGGAAACUUGAGCUAAUACCGGAUACGCCCUUAUGGGGAAAGGUUUACCGCCGAAGGAUCGGCCCGCGUCUGAUUAGCUUGUUGGUGGGGUAACGGCCUACCAAGGCGACGAUCAGUAGCUGGUCUGUGCGGAUGAUCAGCCACACUGGGACUGAGGGACGGCCCAGACUCCAAGGGGAGGCAGCAGUGGGGAAUAUUGGACAAUGGGCGCAAGCCUGAUCCAGCCAUGCCGCGUGAGUGAUGAAGGCCUUAGGGUUGUAAAGCUCUUUUGUCCGGGACGAUAAUGACGGUACCGGAAGAAUAAGCCCCGGCUAACUUCGUGCCAGCAGCCGCGGUAA